AAGGAGAUCACAGGUCAUUGUCUAACAGGCACGACCCAGCAGGGACCCGAGCAGAAAAUAACAACUGUAAAUGUAAGUAUAUAAAUAAAUAAUAAUAAUAGAAAAUGACAAUGACAAUAAUAUUCAUCAUAAUAUUUGUAGUAAUAUGUAAUAAAAAUAGAAAAUAAAAAUCAAUAAAUAAUAAUAAUAAAAAAAUUAUAAAGGUAAUAAUAAAGAUAAUAAUAAUAAUAAUAAUAAUAAUAAUAAUAAUAAUAAAUAGAUAAGUAAAUAAAAUAAAAAUAAAAAGUUGGGAAUGAAAGUGUCAGAGAACAGCGAUGGAUGAUGUUGUGACUGGUUUGUGGCAGAUUAUGAGCUUAGAAAAGUGAUGAAUGAUAACCAGAUAGGGUUAUGAUUAUUGUCAGAGGAGUUUGUAUUUUCUAAGGAGAUGUAGUCUAUGAGCAGGUUUUUCCAGUGUAUUAUGUGUAUGGAGUUCUGAGACUUCCAGUUCAUGAGGAUAGUUUUCCUGGCGACGGUUAGUGCCACUAGAAGUGAACGUGUGUGAGUUUUGUCAAGUUUUAAUGUAGAUAGGUCUCCUAAUAAACAGAGGGAAGGGGAAAGUGGGAUGUGGCAGCCCAUAAUCUGGGAUAAUGUUUCUGUAAUGUUUCUCCAGAAGUGGUGAACAGGUGUGCAGUGCCAGGUUGCAUGAAUAUAGGUAUCAGUGCAGUUUAGUGAGCAGUGUGAACAAUUUCCAGAUGAUGAGAAGCCCAUUUUUUGCAUUUUGUGUCCAGUCAGAUGAGUUCUGUGAAGGAUUUUGUAUUGUAUGAGUUGUAGAUUGGCAUUUUUCGUCAUGGAGAAAAUGUUCUUGCAGAUUUGGGGCCAGAAGUCGGCAUCAGGAGCAAUGGAGAGAUCAGUUUCCCAUUUUUCUGAAGGUAUGGAGGGUGUUGAGUCGGCCUGUGAUAAUAAUUUGUAUAAUUUGACUUGUGCAGAAGGGGAUGGGUGUUGUAAGGGCUGCCACAGCCAGACUGUUGGUGUUUAAUGGGAGUAUGGAGGAUUUGUUCCAGUUUAUUGAGUAGUCAGAGAGAAGGGAGAAGGAUUUGAUGACACUGAUUACUUCUUGUAGUGAUGAUUUUGGGUUAUCCAUAAAAAGUAAAAUGUCAUCUGCAUAGAGGCUGAUUUUAUGGUGCAUGUUGGGGGUUUGGAUUCCUGUAAUGAGGGGGUUCUGACGGAUGGCUGCUGCUAGGGGUUCAAUGAAAAUGGUGAACAAAGAGGGAGAGAGUGGGCAACCUUGCCUGGAGUGAAGAGUGAAGCUUUGUGAGGUUUGUCCGUUAGUAAUAACUGUGGCUGUAGGUGAGGUGUAAAGUGUUUUAAUCCAGUUAAUAAAUGAUUCCCCAAAGCUGAAACUGUGUAGGGUGUGGAUGAGGAAUGACCAGUUAACUCUGUCAAAGGCUUUUUCUGCAUCCAAGGUGGCUAUGAUUGAGUUAUGGUUAUGUGUGGUUGAGUGGUGCAUUAUAUUGAAUAGUCUGCGUGUGUUAUUGGAUGAGUUUCUUCCUUUAAUAAAUCCUGUUUGAUCCGGGUGAAUAAUGGAUGGAAUAAUUUUUUCUAAUCGGUGGGAAAGUGCCUUGGUGAUAAUUUUAAUGUCAACGUUGAGAAGUGAAAUGGGGCGGUAACUUGAAGGCAGGGUGGGGUCUUUGUUUGGUUGAAGAAGCAGUGAGAUAGAUGCUGUAUUCAUGUUGGGUGGAAGUCUGGAGGUUUGUUGUGUUUCUGUUAUCAUUCUGUGAAAAAGUGGAGCUAAGAUGGACCAGAAGUGUUUGUAGAACUCAGCAGGGAAGCCAUCAGGACCAGGUGCUUUAUUAUUAGGCAUUCUGUUGAGGGCAGAUUGGAUUUCUUCAGUUGUUAGGGGUGUGUCUAAUGUGUUUUUUUGUUCAGGGGAGAGUUGGGGUAAAUUGAGGUUGGUGAGAAAUAGACUGAUGUCUUCUUCCUUAGGGGUGUUAUCUGAGGAGUAUAGGUUGACAUAAAAUUCUCUGAAUAUUUGAUUUAUUUCAUCGGGUGAGUUUGUUGACUUCCCUGCUGAGUUAAUGAUGGUGGAGAUUGUGGAUUUUUCUUUAUUUCUUUUGAUUUGGUUUGCGAGAUAUUUGCCGGAUUUGUUAUUGUGAUGGAAGUUUUCCUGUCGGAGCCUGCUGAUCAUGAAGUUAGUUUUCUUGUUCAGAAUUUCAUUUAUUUCUAGUUUAUAUUUUCUUAAUUUCUUCUCCUUUUCUUCUGUUGGGUUAGUUGCAUUGACAGUUUCUAGCUGUUUGAUUUUUUUCUUGUAAUUCAGAUUCUUGCUUGUUUUCUUUCUUUUUCUUAUGGGCUGAAUAUGAAAUGAUAAUUCCUCUGAUGACUGCUUUACCUGUUUCCCAUAGAAGUGUGGGGGAUGGCCUCUUUACUGUUUAUGCAGGUCUACGGCAGUCAGGCUAUAGUGGCCCCGUUGUUAUUCAUGCAGCUGAUACUGAUGUCUAUGUUGCAGCAUCAGUCAUCUCACAGCAGCUCCCUGGCAUGCUAUGCAUCAAGAGGAACAAAGAGACAGUCCUCUGUCAUGGCUGACAGAAGAGAUGGCACACUGCAUUGUGCAGCUACACUGUUUUACAGGCUGUGAUGCCAACUCAGAAUUUAAUGGCAAAGGAAAAUCAUCAGUCUUUGAGAAGGUGGCAAAGAGCUCUUUGGCACGGCAGCAACUCUCCCGGUGUGGAGAUAGCCUUGACCUUGAAGAGGAGGUAGAACAAGAGCUAUUUGCAUUCACUAGACAGGUGAUCUACGGAGACAAGAAGAGGUGCUACUCUUCUUCAUGGCUGAUGCCUGUGCCUCUAAGUGGAAAGCCAUGAAGAGAAAAUUGUUUAUCCAUCUCCCUCCAGAUGCAGACAGCUUAUGGCAACACUGUCUCCGUGCCAACUACUUGGCAUAUCUAGUGCGCCACCCCACACUAAAGAAUCACCCCUUGCCACUCGGACAUGGUUGGGAAUUGGUGUGUGGUCGCUGUCGUCCUAUCCGCCACACACGGCCUGCUCUCCUGACACACCUACCUGCACCAGGGCCAGUUGAAGAGGAGGAAGAAGUUGAGAGUGAGGAGGAGGAGGAGGAGGAGGAUGUUGCUCAGAGGAGGGUGGAGUCAUCUGAAUCAGGGGCCUCAUGUAUCAACGCUUGCGGCGCAAGAAAACCUUGCGUACGCCAAAAUCGGCGCACACGUCCAGAUUUAUCAUCGCGAAAUGAGCGUCGGUUCCAGCGCUAAUCAACGCAAAGUCAGGAGGUGGUGUAGAAAUUGGCGUUGAGCCGAUACUUGCGUUGACUGUGAUUCUCACUUUGGCGACGCUGUGUGGCGGUGUUUGGUGACUCACUAUGUGACAAGCGUGCACCACAUCCCCGUGGCCGAGCAGCACGUCGCCCCACAUGACGAACCAGCAGCAGACGGAGGGAUGCGAGCUGAUCCCUGCCGGGCCGCCGUCCUCGCGCGGGAGAAUCUCAAAAAAUGAAAAAUGUCAAAAAAAAAAAUUUGGGGGGGUGUUAGGGCUUCCUUUAGGUAAUACCCGGGUAUUGGGUUACGGGGCUAGGGUAAGGUUUAACAUUUUUGGGGUUAGGGUUAAAAUCACUGUCCAAGACAUUUAAGGAAGAUGUUUCAGACCUUUUGGAGUUAGUUAGACCAAAAAAAAAAAAAAAAGAAAAAAAAAAAGUUUGGGGUGUUAGGGCUUCCUUUAGGUAAAAUCCGGGUAUUGGGUUACGGGGCUAGGGUAAGGUUUAAGGUUUUUGGGGUUAGGGUUAAAAUCACUGUCCAAGACCUUUUUAGGAACAUGUUUCAGACCUUUUGGAGUUAAUUAGACCAAAAAAAAAGAAAAAUGUCAAAAAAAAUGUGGGGUUGUUAGGGCUUUUUUUUUUUAAGGUAUUGGGUUACGGGGCUAGGGUUAGGUUUAGGGUUUUGGGAUUAGGGUUAAAAUCACUGCCCAAGACCUUUUAAGGAACAUGUUUCAGACCUUUUGGAGUUAGACCAAAAAAAAAAACGAAAAAAUGAAAAUUUUUUUUUGGGGUUGUUAGGGCUUUUUUUAGGUAAUACCCAGGUAUUGGGUUAGGGGGCUAGGGUAAGGUUUAAGGUUUUUGGCGUUAGGGUUAAAAUCACUGUCCAAAACCUUUUUAGGAACAUGUUUCAGACCUUUUAGAGUUAAUUAGACAAAAAAAAAAGAGAAAAAAAAUAUUUGGGGUUAUAGGGCUUCAUUUAGAUAAUACCCGGGAAUUGGGUUAGGGGUCUAGGGUUAGGGUUAGGGUUUUUGCAUAAGGGUUAAUAUCACUGUCCAAAAACCUUUGAGGAACAUGUUUCAAACCUUUUGGAGUUAGUUUGACCAAAAAAAACGAAAAAUGAAAAAAAAAAUGUUUGGGGUGUUAGGGCUUCUUUUUUGUUAUACUCGGGUAAUGGUUUAAAUAUCCUGGGUUUGGGUUUGGGGUUAGGAUUAAAAUCAAAAAUGAAUUUUUUUUUUUAACCUUACCAGGGGCGCAUUCUUUUUGGGAGCGUGGAUUUAGGGGAUUUCUUGUAGAAGUGGAUGUUGGGGGGGGGGGGGGGGGGUAUUAAGAGUGGGAGUGCAGGGGCCCAAUUGAGGGCCGGGUAAAUGGGGUGUGCAGGGGCCAGAGGGAGGGCUGGGUUUCAAAGGUGUUCAGGGGCCUGAGGAAGAUCCUGGGGCCGGGGAGGGGGUUGCUGGAGAACAGGGUAUCUGGUGAAAGGGCUAGGGUUAGGGUUAUGGGGUUAGGGUAAAAAAUCACUGUCCUAGACUUUUUUAAGAACACGUUUCAAACCUUUAUGAGUUUGUUAGAACAAACAAAAGAGGAAAAAUGUCAAUCUUUUUUUGGGGGUGUCAGGGCUUCCUUUCUGUAACACCUGGGUAUUGGGCUACAGUGCUAUGGUUAGGAUUAUAGGGUCAGGGUUAAAAUCACUGACCAGAACCUUUAUAGGAACAUAUUUCAGACCUUUUGGAGUUAGUUAGAACAGAAAAAAGGAAAAAUGUCAAAACAAAUUUUGGGGGGUGUUAGGGCUUCCUUUAGGUAACACCCGGGUAUUGGGUUACGGGGCUAGGUUUAGGGUUAGGGUUAAAAUCACUGUCCAAAAUACUUUUUAGGA
rnacentral:lncRNA from 1 species